rnacentral:rRNA from 1 species
GUAAAGCGCACGCAGGCGGUUUGUUAAGUCAGAUGUGAAAUCCCCGGGCUCAACCUGGGAACUGCAUCUGAUACUGGCAAGCUUGAGUCUCGUAGAGGGGGGUAGAAUUCUAGGUGUAGCGGUGAAAUGCGUAGAGAUCUGGAGGAAUACCGGUGGCGAAGGCGGCCCCCUGGACGAAGACUGACGCUCAGGUGCGAAAGCGUGGGGAGCAAACAGGAUUA